rnacentral:rRNA from 1 species
AUACUGGAUAGGCAAUUAUUCCUGCAAUGGUUUUUUGUUUAAAUGUUUUUUCGCCUAAGGAUGGGUCUGCGGCCGAUUAGGUAGUUGGUUAGGUAAUGGCUUACCAAGCCGUUGAUCGGUACGGGUUGUGAGAGCAAGAGCCCGGAGAUGGAACCUGAGACAAGGUUCCAGGCCCUACGGGGUGCAGCAGGCGCGAAACCUCCGCAAUGUGA